GAAUGAAUGAAUGAGAAUAAAUAAAUAAAUAAAUAAAUACAACACUCACAGUAGGAUUUUAUUUAUAAAAAAAGCACAGACUCCUCGGUAAGAUAUUUAAAGCUCUUAAAACCUGUUCCUACCCUGAGACUACAGGUGCAUUUCUGUUUCACACUGGUUCCCAAAUUCCUAAUGUUGAGGGGCCAACCAUGACGAUCUCGAUUCGUUAGCACAGGACUUCGUGUAUGAUAUGUUUAGCGAUUAGAACCUAUGCUCUCCGUGAGCUCUAGUGGGAUAAGGGGGACUGGAAGAGGAGGAAGAGAGUGACUAAAAACAGCCACUCCAGGAUGUGAGAACAGAGCCAACAUCGUGUCUGGAGACAACAAGGUUGCUUUUGUUAGUCUGGAUAUGUGCUUGGUGGUGGUGGUGGUGGUGGAGCUCAAAUUUUAGAUUUUCAGUGCUAGAGAAAUGCAUUUACAAUGUGAAAACCCGAUGCUUAUUAAAGAAACUCAUUCUUUUAAAA
rnacentral:lncRNA from 1 species